rnacentral:rRNA from 1 species
CCUACGAGAGGCAGCAGUGGGGGAUAUUGCACAAUGGGGGGAACCCUGAUGCAGCGACGCCGCGUGGGUGAAGGAGCGUUUCGGCGCGUAAAGCCCUAUCGGCAGGGAAGAAGAUGACGGUACCUGAGUAAGAAGCCCCGGCUAACUACGUGCCAGCAGCCGCGGUAAUACGUAGGGGGCAAGCGUUAUCCGGAUGUACUGGGGGUAAAGGGAGCGUAGACGGCAGUGCAAGACUGGAGUGAAAGGCGGGGGCUCAACCCCCGGACUGUUCUGGAAACUGUACGGCUGGAGUGCAGGAGAGGUAAGUGGAAUUCCUAGUGUAGCGGUGAAAGGCGUAGAGAUUAGGAGGAACACCAGUGGCGAAGGCGGCUUACUGGACUGUAACUGACGUUGAGGCUCGAAAGCGUGGGGAGCAAACAGGAUUAGAUACCCGAGUAGUC